UCUAAUCUUUCUCUCUCAUCUUCUGCCUUUCUCUUCCUCUCAUCUUCACAAAAGAAAACCCAAACUCACAAAAACCUCAACUGCCACCACCGAAUCUCUUUUUCGCUCACUCUCUAUGUAAAUAAACUUAUGGAAGUUAUAGAUUUCAAACCAUAGAUAUCAAAACAAAAUUAAACACCCCUAAAUCUCAAUGUUGAGAUGAGAAAAAACUAACCCUAGAUUUCAAUGUUGAGAGAGGUAAGGAAAUGGAGGUGCAGUUUCUCAGAGAACUAGAGAAGAGAGAUGAACAAGAUUAUGCAGGUAUUGAUAGUGAAAAUGGAUUCGUGGGUUUGGAUCUGUUUCUAUUAGAAAGAAAUGAUGAAGAACAAGUGCUGCUACUGCCAUGGUUGAAUCUGGUGAUAUAGAAGUGGAAUUGUGAAGAGAAACACAGGAAUUUUGGGGAGUAGAUGAAUGUUAGGACAGGGGUUUUCGAACUGGGUUGGGUGGUGUUGAUGGUGUUAAGAUUGAGCUGCAGUUCAAAUUGGUUUUGAUGUUGAUUGUCAUGGGUUAGUCAGUUGCAGGAGAUUGGUGGUAGUGAAUCAAAUGCUAAAUAAUAAUAAAAUCAUUCAGAGAAGUAAAAGAAAAUGAAAGAUAUGGAUUUUGGUAUUGGACAGCAGAUGCCGGUGGAAGAAGAAGAAACAGAAGCAACAACAGAAAUUACAGAACAGAGUGAAAGUGUAUUUAGAGAUAGAUAAGAGGAUUUGGUCGAUAAAUUGAAGAAGAAAUCUUUUGAAGAAGAUUGGAAAUGGUGGAAUUAGUAGUAUGGAGAACGAAUAUAUUUACAGACAUCAUACACAUGAUGGAAUGAGAGAUAACCGGUGUAGUUCAGCUCUUGUUAAACAUAUCAAAGAUCCUCUUCAUCUCGGGAUAGGGUACGAUGCCGACUCGCAGUCCACCAUCGAAACUCAAACGAGGAAAAUUGGAAGGGUUUUACAAGCCUAUACCUAAAGAAGCUCAGAAAGGGUUGCUGGGAACUCUGCAGUUGUCAUUGAAUAGGUAUGCAGUUGUCACUGAAUAGGCAUGCAGUUGUCACUGAAUAGAAGCACAGAUUAGAGAGUUGCUUGAAUCUUUUGGUCCCCUUCGUGGUUUCGAUCUGGUGAAGGACAGGGAAACAAGGAACUCUAAAGGAUACGCCUUCUGCGUUUACUAGGAUCUCUCAGUUACAGAUAUUGCUUGUGCUGCUCUAAAUGGGUGAUAAAACUCUUACUGUUAGACGAGCGAACCUGGGCACCGCUCAGCUAAAACCUGAGCAGGAAACGUCUUAAUACAGGCACAACUACAGGUCGCGUGGCAGAGGCAAUUGUUCCAAACCGGAGGUGGUCUAGGUGGUGGUAAUGGAGGUGGCAUUGCUACCAAGGUCGUAUGCCUGACAGAGGUGGUUACUGCAGAUGAGCUUAAAGAUGAUGAAGAGUAUGAAGAUAUUUUGGAAGAUAUGAGGGUAGAAGGUGGAAAAUUUGGUACAUUGAUGAAUAUUGUCAUCCCCCGUCCACAACCUAACGGUGAACCCUCUCUAAGACUUGGAAAGGUUAGUUUCAGUGUAAGGUAUUGUUAAAUGACACUCUUAGGUUGACUGUUACUUUGUAUUAUAAAAUUUUGACUGUUACUUUGUAUUGCUAAAUGACACUCUUCUCCUGUAGGCUUUCGUUGAGAACUACCACACUUCAUGUCUAAGCCAGUGCCUCUACGGUAUCAUCUACCACUAUGUUUCUCAUAAUCGGUGUUAGGUUUACCAAGAAGAGAGUGUGCAGCGAAAACGAAUCAUUUCCAUUUAGCAAUGUAACCCAGACUACCAUACUGGAACGUGUAUGCUACUGUCAUAUUUGUAGGGAAGGCCAAUAUCUGUGUUUUACGAUUUAUAUGAUAUUUUUAGUCAUGUUCAAAGAAUCUAUCAUUUUAUUUUCUUUCGUUGCGCAACACACUUUCAGACAAGGUGAUUUGAAGUUAGCUAGGUAAUGCAAUUGGAGUGGUAGGUUAACUUGAAUGAAUGUAAAUGUGCUACACUGGCAUGUGAAUGUGAAUGUGAAA